CGGAAAUGGAUUGAAGAGAAGGUUCUUGAGGCUGACGCGACCGACGAGUUGGAAGAGGAGCAGGAGCUACAUGAUCGACGUCAUGGGGAAAGGAGGAUUCUGAAAUUUCCCACUUCUUGGUGCUCUUUUUGAGAGGACCGAUGGAAGUGUUGAAUCCGGAAGCUUCAAGAAAUUUCAUAAUAAGGAGGGCAUAGGGAAGAGGUCUAUCAUCUCCGAUGGCAUCACGCAUGUGAAUUUUGACGAACUUACACCAAUUGAUGUGAGCACUGGUUAUAAUGGCAUGCAUGAGCUUAGCGUCCUCUUGGGAAAGAGUGGUAUGAUUA
rnacentral:lncRNA from 1 species